UGGGGAAUAUUGCACAAUGGGCGCAAGCCUGAUGCAGCAACGCCGCGUGAGGGAUGACGGCCUUCGGGUUGUAAACCUCUUUUAGCAGGGAAGAAGCGAAAGUGACGGUACCUGCAGAAAAAGCACCGGCUAACUACGUGCCAGCAGCCGCGGUAAUACGUAGGGUGCAAGCGUUGUCCGGAAUUAUUGGGCGUAAAGAGCUCGUAGGCGGUCUGUCGCGUCUGCUGUGAAAUCCCCGAGGCUCAACCUCGGGCCUGCAGUGGGUACGGGCAGACUAGAGUGCGUAGGGGGGAAUGGAACUCCUGGUGUAGCGGUGGAAUGCGCAGAUAUCAGGAAGAACACCGAUGGCGAAGGCAGUUCUCUGGGCCGUAACUGACGCUGAGGAGCGAAAGCGUGGGGAGCGAACAGGAUUAGAUACCCUGGUAGUCCACGCCGUAAACGUUGGGCGCUAGAUGUGGGGACCAUUCCACGGUUUCCGUGUCGCAGCUAACGCAUUAAGCGCCCCGCCUGGGGAGUACGGCCGCAAGGCU
rnacentral:rRNA from 1 species